rnacentral:lncRNA from 1 species
AUGUACAGACCACUGGCAAGGUAUGCUUUUGUAAGACAUCUGACAGGUACUGUCCUUGCCAAUCUGAAGUAUUGACAAGAAUAAUGUUUUCUGGCAGCUGGUCAUCAGAAACCAGGAUGUGAUUUAGUUGGUCGUACACAGUUUUCCUGGGGAUCUGUAAGUGGUGCCGGGUGUCUGGAGAUCGUUCAUUGUCCAAGCUGUUCGCUCUCUCAUUCUGCGGCCUCACUGGCUGCCUCUCCUUCAAAGAUGUGCUUCUUCCCCGACGUCCAGUUUGCUUCCCCUCAGACCUGCUGGUGGAUGGGAUAAUGAGGGACUCCGUCUUGGUGAUCUUCCCGCUGGGUGGGAGCUUCUCAACAAACACAUCUGGUGCGGGAAGUUCUGCUUCUUGGACCUCAGCUUGCUGGUUAGACUCAAAAGAGACAGUGUCAGAAAUACUGUCGUCUGUGUGUUUGGUUCCAAGACUCUUUGUCUUUUCAGGCACUUCUACAGGACUUGAUGGCUCUCUCUGGCUCCUGAUGCUGUGGAUGCUACCAAUUUCUGUCUGAGAGCUGGAGUGUGACAGUCCUUCAAAAUAAGGUUUUAACUUUGGCUUCGGUGUGCUCAAAACACUGUCAUCAUCUUCCAUUUCUGGCCCACUGUCACUGGGGUUCUCUAUAUCCAAUGUGUCGUACAGAAGGUCCAAGUCUUCCUCCACCUCUGGAACGUGCUCUGCAGGGUCCUGCUCUGAAUCCAGAACCUCAUCAGACACUUUAAAUCUCUUCAGCAAAGCCACAACCUUCUGCUUGAAGUUUUGUUGCCUGGUUAUGGACGUCGUUCUUACUAUCGAUCUCCGCUGCUUCUUGGGCUUCCCCAGCUCGUACUCAUCAUCAUCCAAAUCCUG